GGGGGUGACAGGUCUCGACUUCGACCGUGAAGACAGGGGAAGCGGGCCGAGGAUGGCAGCGAUGAUCUCGUUAACCAUUCGCUGCGAAAAAACAAGCGCCAACACUAGUCGCGCUGACUUCGCCCUUGCUGCAUAAGUAAGGGAUCACCGAAGUCUGUCAGCCCGGGAUCGCCUCCGGCCCGGAGUCUGGCAUCGGUAGGAGGCUCGACCGGUAGACCCGGCUGCGGGGUCUAUCGGGAAAGCUCACAGCAGCUGGGCUCGUCGAGGCGGCUCGCCUGCUAGACCGCCUGAGCCGAGUAGGACGCUUGCAGGCUGCGCCCGGAGAAGCCCUCUCUCCACGUCGAAGGACCCGGGUUCGAUUCCCGGCACCUCCAC
rnacentral:tmRNA from 1 species